GAGCCGUGUGAAGAGGCUGACAGCGGCGUGGCCACCACCCAGGAUGGAGAGAAAGGCACUGUGAGGUGUUAAUGGAAAAAUCCAACUUCCUUUUCUUCCAAAGAUGAUGACUGAAACCAAAGUGGAGCUUUCCCUUGUGAAGUGAAAGCAAAGUUUUAAAAUUUUUUCUCCUCUGCAAGAAAAUAUAUUUCAGAAAAUCUCUAUCUCAAAAAUGAAGCAAUUAAGAACUGUCUGGCUGUGAGGAUCUGGCCUCAACUUGACUUAAAGCAACAACUUCAGAAACUUUCUGAGAUGCAAGUGGGUGUUAAAUGGUUCAGCAAAGCCAAGCCAGAGCAGUUGGUGUGCUUUGAAAUGAAGCAACAUUGGAAAAAUGAAAUCUACUGAAAGAUCACUACGUGUUUCAAAGGCCUUCAGACUCAGACUGGAACUGCACCGUUGGCUCUCCUGGGUGGGUCUCCAGCUUGCUGACCACAGACCUUGAGACUUCUCAGCCUUUAGAAUCAUGGAAGCCAAUUCCUUAUAAUAAUAUAUAUCCUUUUCCUAGUCUGUGGACUUUUCCCAGCUCCAGACAGACAACCUUCUAUAAACUCCAGGAUGCUCCAUCAAUGCCGUCUGGACUCUACAGAUUUUGACCCUGAAGUAAAGUAGGAAAGGCUAUGAGGACAUGUUAAAUGUUGUACUACCGCCUGAAGCCUUUUCUUCUUUAAAUUUUUCAACAAGAGUUGAAUGCACACGUGGAGCUUAAUUGGACAACAACUUUUCUCCUCUUCUGUGGGAUCCCGUCAGUGCUUUAAGCAAUGAGAAGGCAGCUCAUUUCCAAGUUUGUGUGGUAAAUUUGGGGCAAGUGGGAGAAAAGAAAGAAAGGCUGAGUCUUAUAGGGUGUGAUUUGGUUCUAGACAUGCUUAUGUUACUUUUUAUAAGAUUAUCCAUUUGACUAGAUUUCUUUCCUGCUGACAAAAGAGGCAAUUUCUACAUAUAAAAUAAAUCUGAUUAAAACUCUUUCUCUGUUCCUGUCAAGGUAAUAGAUGCAGACCCCAGGAACAGAAUAUAUUUGGA
rnacentral:lncRNA from 1 species